rnacentral:rRNA from 1 species
GACGAACGCUGGCGGCGUGCUUAACACAUGCAAGUCGAACGAAGUGGCGAACGGGUGAGUAACGCGUAAUCAACCUGCCCUUCAGAGGGGGACAACAGGUGGAAACGACUGCUCAUACCGCAUACUGAAGGAGGGGAUUGCGUCUGAUUAGCUAGUGGGAGGGGUAACGGCCACUCAAGGGGAUGAUCAGUAUGCGGUAUUAGAGGAUGAACGGGCAAAUUGGGACUGGGACACGGACCAGACUCCUACGGGAGGCAGCAGGGGGGAAUCUUCCGAAAUGGACGAAAGUCUGACGGAGCAACGCCGCGUGGGUGAUGACGGCCUUCGGGUUGUAAAGCUCUGGUAAUCGGGACGCGGUACCGGAAUAGAAAGCCACGGCUAACUACGUGCCAGCAGCCGCGGUAAUAC